rnacentral:rRNA from 1 species
UAAUACGGGGGGAGCGAGCGUUGUUCGGAAUUACUGGGCGUAAAGGGCGCGUAGGCGGAUAUGCAAGUCGAAUGUGAAAUCCAACGGCUUAACCGUUGAAUUGCAUUCGAAAUUGCAUAUCUCGAGUACAGGAGAGGAAAGCGGAAUUCUUGGUGUAGCGGUGAAAUGCAUAGAUAUCAAGAAGAACACCGGUGGCGAAGGCAGCUUUCUGGCCUGAUACUGACGCUAAGGCGCGAAAGCGUGGGGAGCAAACAGGAUUAGAUACCCUGGUAGUCCACGCUGUAAACGAUGGGCACUAGGUGUUGGAGGUAUCGACUCCUUCAGUGCCGCAGCUAACGCAUUAAGUGCCCCGCCUGGGGAGUACGAUCGCAAGGUUG